rnacentral:ribozyme from 1 species
CCCCGGCGAUGUGCAGGCACCUCUCCGUUGUGCUGGGGACCAAUAUUCGAGUAUUCAAGCGUAUUCGAAGAAGCAAGGACCUGC